UCCGGUUUGUCACCGGCAGUCAUCUUAGAGUGCCCACCUCACGUGCUGGCAACUAAGAUCAAGGGUUGCGCUCGUUGCGGGACUUAACCCAACAUCUCACGACACGAGCUGACGACAACCAUGCACCACCUGUCUCUUACGUCCCCGAAGGGCCUACCCUAUCUCUAGAGUAUUCGUAAGGAUGUCAAGACCUGGUAAGGUUCUUCGCGUUGCUUCGAAUUAAACCACAUACUCCACUGCUUGUGCGGGUCCCCGUCAAUUCCUUUGAGUUUCAGUCUUGCGACCGUACUCCCCAGGCGGAGUGCUUACUGUGUUUACUUCGGCACCAAGGGUAUCGAAACCCCUAACACCUAGCACUCAUCGUUUACGGCGUGGACUAC
rnacentral:misc_RNA from 1 species